CUGUGACCGUUGCUCGAGAGCGGCUCCAAUCAGCCGCCUCACCACUUACAAUCAGAGGCCCCCGGUCAGCGAUAGGAAGGAGGAAGCAGUAUGGGGCCCGUCAUAGCAGCAGCUGUCUCUGCACGCUGCUUCGGAUUGAUUUGUUAGAGGAGUAGCAGCUUCUGACUGUCGAGAAUGAGGACGACCCGGAGGUGGCGGCUGUCAGUUUACGCUGUUGAUCCUUCUGUCCUUUCACAUGAGUGCCGUGGUAGAGAGGCUGUACCAGUAUAAACGGUAUAAUUAAUGGGCAAAUUAUGAAGCCAUCCACAUCCAGCGGCACCUGUUCCACUUUGCAUUUAACUCAGAGUGACAACGCAUCUCAUUCCUGGCGGCCCACGGUGGGACGCGGUAAUAUGUGCGUGCUCGCUUUCCACUGGCUUUGGAGUACUUUCACAUUAUGCAAACGCUGUCCGGGCUGUGAAUAACACUGUGCGGUGAAUCUGAAUCGUAAUUCUUGUGCUCAUUCUGGGAUUUGGCGUCGGCUUGAGCUUCCAUCCUCGUGGUAGAUCAACUUCAACCUGACACACGUACUGUUCAAUCAACGUCCGCGAUAUGAAAAACCCUCCACGAGCACUUAGAACACCAUGUGAGAAGACACACCGUGGAAAGCACCAUGGGUCACCAUGUGAUCUCCCGUGUGCGCAUAGGCGCCGGCCGAUUCUCUAUCUGCCGUAGCACAUCUGGCUGGUGAGUGGAAUGAAAACAACGUGGGUCAUAAGAGCGGGCCGGUUCAGCUCAGCCUGCACAAACAUUUGUGAGCCAUCGGUGUUGUUUAGAGGUCACACAGUCACAGUGCACCGUUUAGAUAAGUUUAAGUGGACAAAUGCACUGCAGAUUUACCAUUUGCAACGCGGGGACACAUAUUGUGCGACACACACAACUCACGCUCUGAGGGAAGGUAAACAUUGUGUCAAUUCACAGCAGCUGUUUUUUUCUUCUCCCAAUGUCACUGAAGGUCACUCCGUCGUGUCGUUGUGGUGCGCUGCUCCGGACCGGCGCACAGGAACGUGACAGAAUCCCCACUGACUCCUCGCGUCUCUGCUCUAGUUGCUGUCUGGUGGUUCUGAGAGAAAGCGCCGCAGGUACCGCCGCCCGCUGGCAGCUCUCGUCACAUGACAGUGGGGCAGACCGUGUGUCGCUGAUUGGAUAGAACGCUAGUUUAAAUUGAGCAAAAGGAGAACAAAGCACAACGUGUUGUGUUGUGGUUGUUAUUUUUCUGACGCGUUCAAAGCAUCUGGUGGGGUUGUUUAAAGGUUGCAUCAGAUGCACUUAACUCGACCAGGGAAGGUAGAAACUCAAUUGUGUUGCUGUUUUUCAUAAGGACAGCCUGUGCAAUUGCUUGAAAAAGCCUUUGUCUUUUGCUGUGUGAAUAUCUUAUCUGUGCAUUCAACACCAUUUGAUUUCUUUGUGAUAUACCGUUGUAUGGUUGUUUUGGUGGUCAGGCAUCUCUUCUUGCUUCACACUUUGUUUGACUAUUGCAUUUUUCACACACUUUAGAGAGAUCCAGGUGAGUCUAUUCAACAUGACCACGCUGCAGUCUAAAGCGUUUGCAUUUACGCUGAGCACGCAGCUUCCACAGAUUGUCCACCCC
ensembl:lncRNA